rnacentral:rRNA from 1 species
GAACGCUGGCGGCGUGCUUAACACAUGCAAGUCGAACGGAGAACUUUCUUCGGAAUGUUCUUAGUGGCGAACGGGUGAGUAACGCGUAGGCAACCUGCCCUCUGGUUGGGGACAACAUUCCGAAAGGGAUGCUAAUACCGAAUGAGAUCCUCUUUCCGCAUGGAGAGAGGAUGAAAGAUGGCCUCUACUUGUAAGCUAUCGCCAGAAGAUGGGCCUGCGUCUGAUUAGCUAGUAGGUGAGGUAACGGCUCACCUAGGCGAUGAUCAGUAGCCGGUCUGAGAGGAUGAACGGCCACAUUGGGACUGAGACACGGCCCAAACUCCUACGGGAGGCAGCAGUGGGGAAUCUUCCGCAAUGGACGAAAGUCUGACGGAGCAACGCCGCGUGAGUGAUGAAGGCCUUCGGGUUGUAAAACUCUGUUGUCAGGGACGAAAGCACCGAUCUAUAAUACAUUUUGGUGUUGACGGUACCUGACGAGGAAGCCACGGCUAACUACGUGCCAGCAGCCGCGGUAAUACGUAGGUGGCAAGCGUUGUCCGGAAUUAUUGGGCGUAAAGAGCAUGUAGGCGGGCUUUUAAGUCCGACGUGAAAAUGCGGGGCUUAACCCCGUAUGGCGUUGGAUACUGGAAGUCUUGAGUGCAGGAGAGGAAAGGGGAAUUCCCAGUGUAGCGGUGAAAUGCGUAGAUAUUGGGAGGAACACCAGUGGCGAAGGCGCCUUUCUGGACUGUGUCUGACGCUGAGAUGCGAAAGCCAGGGUAGCAAACGGGAUUAGAUACCCCGGUAGUCCUGGCCGUAAACGAU